CAUACAUUUUGGUGAAAAUAAUAGCGGAGCCGAGCACAGCUCCUGCUCAGUCGAGGCAGAGGGAAGAAAAUCUCAGGGAGCACCGAGUCGUAGGAAAAAGACACACAGAUAACCGUUUCCAGGCUGCACGCGAGCAACGGUGAAGCUUAUUUAUUACCCCCCACCUCACACACACAACACCACCCAACACACACUCACACACACCGACACCGACCAUCACUGGCACCAGCUCCACUUUUCUCGGAUACGAGGAGCGCCACACUCCCCUGGUGCACACACACAUUCAUAUAUACUCAAACACACACACCAAACUUUGGUCACCCCUCCUUGCCCCCCUGUCCCCCCCCUUCAUCCUCACCCCUGAUGCAACACCUCUGGAGGUAAGGGUUGCAUGUGUGUGUGUUUGUGUGUGUGUGUGUGUGUGUGCUUGCACUGUCUCUCUCUCUCUCUCCCCCCAGCGAAAGCGGACACGUCGUCUCCCCAGCUUCCGUUUUCCUCUGCACGCCUGCUGCUGGAGUAUUCACGCUUCAGGCUGUUUUCUUUGAGAGAGGGAGAGAGGAAGACAGAGUAUAAAAAUAUGCAAAUGCUAUUGUUGAAGCGCAGAAUGAAGGAGGGUGGGGGUGCUCCUUUUACACCUCCUCACCUCCCCUGUCGCCACUGCUGCCACUGCUGCUGCCACCGUCACCACUUCCACCUCCGUCCAUCCAUCUAUCCAUGUAGAGUGAGGGAGAGAGGGGACAUUCAGGUGGCACAGCAGGGGCAGGUUAUUAAAAAUAUACUUAAAGGCCACCAUUAUCUCUAUCAGUUCAGGCUUUUCCCCCCAAAAUCCAGCGGUAGACCGACGGAUAUAUCAGAGAAAGAAGGAAGGAAAUGUGCAGCUAUUUAGAUAAUGAACUACAAAAGAAGUACAUAUGUAAACCCCCCAACACAAGGAGGGAGGGGCAGGGACUUCACAUUACACUGUAUAUAAUAUAUGCAUAUGACUAAACAGAAGCAGCAAUAGGCGUACACAUAAAUCUCAGUCAAACUGAAGCGAUGGAGGGCUACAAGCUGUGGCCUAAUUGCAGGGCUGUGCACACCACCCACACAGGUGUUUUCACUGUGUGGAAGUUAAAGGUGUUUAAAGGGUCAUUACGGCGUUUACUGCAGUAACUGCAGCAACUGCAGCAAAUGACGGUUGCAAGUUUGCAAGUGGAGGAAGGGCUUCUGCUCAGAACAUCCCUGCCUGAAUCAUUUACUUAAUGGGAGUGCUGUUUUGCUGAUGAUUUGCUAUAUUAUCCACUGUUUAGCACAUUAUAAAUAAUACUUAUGGAGCUUGGCUGUAUUUGUACUAUUAGCAUGGAUGCAUACCGAGACUGCAGUUCCUCCAAUGGACACUCGAGGCUGGAUCUGAACAUGAGACUCCCAAGUUAAAAUUUUCAUCUUUAUAUUAGGUUUAAACAUGCUGCUAAUAAUGCAUAUCUUUAGCUAAUAUAAAUGCCAUUUGUGGCAGUUAACUAACCUUUCAUUCUCUUUUGUGUGUGAUAUAACAAAAAUAAAAGAUCUCUGACAGGCACGGGUUUGUACGCCAAGCAUCAGUGGCAAAAAGUUCCCCUAAUGGCCACUUGAGGCUGGCUCUAAACGUGAGUCAACCCCCAUAGACUCCCACGUUAAACAGCCAAACUUUACAUUAGAAAUAAAUAUGUUUACAGCCCAGUCCAAUUAAUAGUUUUGCUCUUUAUGCUGAUUUAGCUCUGUACAGGAGGUGACCUUUAAUUGAAGUUAUAAUAAGGCCUAUUUAUUGAGGGUUUAUUGAGGGUGUGGCCACUUUGACUGACAGGGUGGGAGCAGAAUGAGCCACUAGGAGUCACCCAGCAGGUUUUUUGACCAUGAAAACAUUUUAAAGUAACAUUACGACAAAUAAUGUCUCAAUUCCCAGUUAACUGUACUAAUAGACUGUUUAAGAAGUCUGUGCCCUAGUUUUGGAUGCACCUGACCUAGCACUCGUCCCACUUUAGACAUAAUGCUGAAAUCAAACCUCCAAUUGAAUUGGUGACAUUAUAAUGGCUUAAUAUGACGCGCAGGUUGGAGAAGAUGCUUAGUUGUCUUUUUUCCACGAUAAAGGUGGAGAAGAAUGAACACAACGCUUUUCUAGCCCACUAAUAAAAAAGCAGAGGCUAAAGCAGACAUGGAAGCACACACACCCAACCAGAGAGACUGAGAGGCAGUACGAGUGUAGCCCUGUGAAAGUGGGAAGCCCAUUUGUAAAGCCCUCACGCUCUCAGGAAGACUUUUUGAAGUGAUUAUGAAGACAGUUCAGAUCAAAGGAUUUGACAAGUCUGAGUGCGCGCCAAAUACGAGGCCGGGUAAUCACGCUGAAGCCCCUCCAUACAAGAUGGCAGUGGUCCCCCCAGCUGCUUUGCAAAUGUAAUGCGACACUUGCGGAUAAACAGAUUAUGAAGAAAUGGAGGGGUUGGGGGCGGGGGCGAAGGGGACUGAAAAGAAAAAAAAAUGACUUCACAACUUGUAGAAAUUAGAGGAGGGGAAAUAGUUUAUUUAAUGAACUCUGGGGAUGGGCAGUGUCAAAGAAAUGAUGAUUAAUUCUGGAGCGCUGAUACAGGUCUAAACGAUAUAAUUUGGGAAUAUUAGCGGGAACAUUAGAUGAUGAGGCAGUAUUUCUCGUGCUAGUAUCUCAGACUCGAGGCUCCAGAGACUGUUUUUUUUCUCUCCUUCCUUUCUCUUUCCCUUCACUAGUUAUUAUAGAUUAAUCCAUAAUCCUCACCACCUAAAGACAUUUUUGUCAGUAAAGCUCAGGGAUAGAGCCGGUAGAUUUUUUAUUUUUUUGGGGGGAAUAUAUCUCUGCUCCUGCUCAUUUCCCCUCAGCAUGAUGUCACAUUGUCACAUCUACUGAAAACACUCCAUCGCCAGCUCCUCUCAGAUAUACCGUUUCAUUUCGGUAGAGCUGAGGUGGGACUUAUCAGUUUAUGUAACCGGAAAUUUUCUACAUCAUGUACACGAUUCCCAUUUAUUCAACAUCAUGUCAAGUUGAAUGUGAUGUUCGGCGCUCACAGUAAGACAGAAACGCUCAUAAUGUGUUGAUAUGAAUCAUUUUUUUCCUGCUUUUUUUUCUUCUCUUCUUUUAUGAAUGAGCUCAAGUAGCAAAGUAUUGUAAGCUGUGCAGCCGUGCUGUAAUGUCAGAUAAUGCACUUUUCACUGUACACGAAGGGAUUUUUGUGCCUGUUCUUCAUGCAGUGUUUUAAUUCCAAACUCCAUUGAAAAAACAAUCGAUUUUAUUGCUGAUUUGUUCGCUGUGUCUGUGCAGCAUUUCAAAGCUGUGGAGCAGAGCCGGAUAAAGUGAUAGCUAUCUUGAUUGCAGAAAGUACUACAAAGCAAUUUGAUGUAUAACAAUGUCGUCACAGUGAAAACAUGCGUCUUCAAAUGUGGGUUAUUAACCAUUAAAGAAAAAAAAGAAA